rnacentral:rRNA from 1 species
UACAGAGGGUGCAAACGUUGUUCGGAAUUACUGGGCGUAAAGCGUGUGUAGGCGGUCCACUAAGUCGGGUGUGAAAGCCCUGGGCUCAACCCAGGAAGUGCACUCGAAACUGGCGGGCUAGAGUAUCGGAGAGGUUGGUGGAAUUCUCGGUGUAGAGGUGAAAUUCGUAGAUAUCGAGAGGAACACCGGUGGCGAAGGCGGCCAACUGGACGAAUACUGACGCUGAGACACGAAAGCGUGGGGAGCAAACAGG